rnacentral:ncRNA from 1 species
GAAUGCACGGUAUUUGUAGCAACCGUUUUUUCAUAUCUAUACAACGAUAAAAGUAUUCAAAAUAUAAGGCAGAAGGGCGGAUCCGCCUAAAAAAAAAUAGAAAAUUAAGCGGAAGAAAAGAAAAUAACAAUGAUUCCUUUAGUAACGGCGAGUGAACAAGGAAAAGCUCAAGCUGAAAAUCUUUCAAUAGAGAGAGGACCUUACGGGUGGUUUUUCCUCUUUCUGCAAAGAGUUGUAGCGUUUUCAAAUGAGAGAUGAUUUAUAUAUAAUACCCGUGUGUAUACUAUACAUAUAUAGCAUAUCAGUAAACAUCCUUGAAAAUUUUAAGCCCAUAUUUAUUUACAAGAAAACGAAAUUUUAAUGCAGGAUAGCAUUCCCACAGAGGGUGAAAGGCCCGUAGUUUUUGUGAAUAUAUACAAAAGAGUUUGGAUUUGGGGGGCGCAGCGGAAUUGAUCUUUCCCACUCGCCAUUUUUAUAUCUCUUUAUUUUUCUUGGAUAUCUUUCAUUUAAGAGUCGUGUUCACGAAAUUGGAACACUAAUAUGUGUGGUAAAUGGGAAGGGUUUUGGUGGUGCUGUGGGUUUUCGGUCUGUCCUACUCGAGGCUUUGCCUGUACCAGAGAGUGUGCAGGGGGAGUAAAGGUACGGAUAGCAUCAUAACUUUUCACGGUGGUACGCCCCCUUCUUUCAACCUUUUUUUUUUUUUUUUAAAGAAAAUUGUCGUUGUUAAUCACAUAAAGCUAAAUAUGCGUAGGAGACCGAUAGCAAACAAGUACCGUAAGGGAAAGAUGAAAUAGUACUCAGGAAUGAGCGAUUAAAUAGUACCUGAAA